CCUACGGGAGGCAGCAGUGGGGAAUAUUGGACAAUGGGGGCAACCCUGAUCCAGCCAUGCCGCGUGGGUGAAGAAGGCCCUCGGGGUGUAAAGCACUUUCAGUGAGGAAGAACGCCUGGUGGUUAAUACCCAUCAGGAAAGACAUCACUCACAGAAGAAGCACCGGCUAACUCCGUGCCAGCAGCCGCGGUAAUACGGAGGGUGCGAGCGUUAAUCGGAAUUACUGGGCGUAAAGCGCGCGUAGGUGGCUUGAUAAGCCGUUGUGAAAGCCCCGGGCUCAACCUGGGAACGGCAUCCGGAACUGUCAAGCUAGAGUGCAGGAGAGGAAGGUAGAAUUCCCGGUGUAGCGGUGAAAUGCGUAGAGAUCGGGAGGAAUACCAGUGGCGAAGGCGGCCUUCUGGACUGACACUGACACUGAGGUGCGAAAGCGUGGGUAGCAAACAGGAUUAGAUACCCCGGUAGUC
rnacentral:rRNA from 1 species